GACGAACGCUGGCGGCGCGCCUAACACAUGCAAGUCGAACGGAGUUGUGUUGAAAGCUUGCUGGAUAUACAACUUAGUGGCGGACGGGUGAGUAACACGUGAGUAGCUUGCCCCGGAGCGGGGGAUAACAUUUGGAAACAGAUGCUAAUACCGCAUAACAACAAAAACCACAUGGCUUUUGUUUGAAAGAUGGCUUUGGCUAUCACUCUGGGAUGGACCUGCGGUGCAUUAGCUAGUUGGUAAGGUAACGGCUUACCAAGGCAAUGAUGCAUAGCCGAGUUGAGAGACUGAUCGGUCACAAUGGAACUGAGACACGGUCCAU
rnacentral:rRNA from 1 species